rnacentral:rRNA from 1 species
UACCAGCACCCCGAGUGGUCUGGUCGAUUAUUGGGCCUAAAGCAUCCGUAGCCGGUUCUACAAGUCUUCCGUUAAAUCCACCUGCUUAACAGAUGGGCUGCGGAGGAUACUAUGGAGCUAGGAGGCGGGAGAGGCAAGCGGUACUUAGUGGGUAGGGGUAAAAUCCGUUGAUCCAUUGAAGACCACCAGUGGCGAAGGCGGCUUGCCAGAACGCACUCGACGGUGAGGGAUGAAAGCUGGGGGAGCAAACCGG